rnacentral:rRNA from 1 species
UACAGAGGUGGCAAGCGUUGUUCGGAAUUACUGGGCGUAAAGGGCGAGUAGGCGGCUUUUUAAGUCAGACGUGAAAUCCCCCGGCUUAACCUGGGAACUGCGUCUGAUACUGGAUGGCUAGAGUAUGGGAGAGGGAUGUGGAAUUCCAGGUGUAGCGGUGAAAUGCGUAGAUAUCUGGAGGAACACCGGUGGCGAAGGCGGCAUCCUGGACCAUUACUGACGCUGAACCGCGAAAGCUAGGGGAGCAAACGGG